UCCUGCUAAUAUCUGUGGUUGGAAUGUCUCCUGUCAAUCCAUCUCAAUAGAGAUCACCUCGGUGGUGAAUGUAUGUUUUGUCUCCCCAACCCUGGCUCAAGAUCAGUCUACUGAUGACGAAACCGACCGGGGAUGACGCUAAAUAAGAUGAUGAUGAAGCCGAUUCGUGUGCCGUGGUUCUUUUGUCGGUUAAAUCAUGAUCUAAUGUAUGAAGAAAAGCUUUCAAUGCAAUUCGAACAUUCGUUCAUUGAGCGGGAUCCCCAGGUCUAGACCGAUCACUUGCCUUCGUCAGUGACGAUGAUGAUCUUGGAAAGACGAGACGCAAACUUCCAUUGUCGAGACUCGAUUCCGAGGAGAGCCCAAUAGACCUGAAAAGACCCGAGACAGAUCGACGAGAACGAGCGAGUGAAAAAUCACGCGAAUCACUAUCAAAGACGAUAAUCACUCAUGGGCUUGACAAAAGACGCUCGAACGGACAACAAUGAGACGUAAUGCGUGAUUAAAUAGUGUCAAGAUCACUUUGAGCGGAAUCCGAGAUGACCGACGGUUAGAAUUCGGGCACCAUUCCAAUCAUGACGAAGGCCGUUUCUUUCGUCUACCUUGACCUUGACUUGGCCCACUAUUUGAGCCCUGGAACAUGUUGUUUUCCUUUGAGAAAUGUCUAUCUAAAGUAGGCAAUCCAGAAUAAGGUCUAUUCUACGGUAUCUCUUCGUCUACCUUUGUUCCAUGCCGAAACUUGGUUGAUGGACGAACCAUAGGGAAUUGACGGUGGUGGUGGUGGUGGUGGUCCUCCUCCUCCUCCUCGUCUAAGGCACUCACCAGAGUACCAGUUAGUAUGUGAUGAGUUAUUGAUCCUCUGGACAAAUAUUGACCAAGUUGUUUCUAAUUUCAAUGUUUAAUUUCAGGAGAAUGACAACGGAGUGUCCACCUUCUUCUCGUCCUCCUCCUCCUUUACGCACUUCUUCCUCCCUUUGAGGAUUUGAGGAUCCUCCCUUGGUCUCAUGACUCCCUGAAGUGUUCGAGUUGAUCUUCAGAUUUGAAUCUUGGACAUCUUUGGCGGAACACGCGUAUGAGUGUGUGAAUGACUCGAUCCUUCAAUCAACUUGGCUGAACUCAAUGCUUUUCGAUAAUGCGGUUUUUGCCAUGGGUAGCCAUCAGGAUGGAAUUAAUUUCUUUAGACAUUUUGGUUAGACAAACACACGGAAGGAGAGUGGGUGGACCAAUGGGUGGGCUGACAAAAGAACCAAGCUCUAAGCUCUCGAGGUUUGGCAAAGAAAAGGCCAAAAGGGAGAAGGCCAUAGUGAAGUUAUGAAAGUAUGGCUCUAAUGUUCUCAAGCAGUGGGUCAUGAGGUGGAUAAUAAAUCCCACCAAGUAUUCCUAGAA